rnacentral:rRNA from 1 species
UACGAAGGGGGCUAGCGUUGUUCGGAGUUACUGGGCGUAAAGGGCGCGUAGGCGGCGCACCAAGUCGGAUGUGAAAGCCCCGGGCUCAACCCGGGAAGUGCACUCGAAACUGGGAGGCUAGAGUACUGGAGAGGUUGGUGGAAUUCUCGGUGUAGAGGUGAAAUUCGUAGAUAUCGAGAGGAACACCGGUGGCGAAGGCGGCUCACUGGGCCGGUCCUGACGCUCAGGCGCGAAAGCGUGGGGAGCGAUCCGG